UACGGGGGGGGGCAAGCGUUGUUCGGAAUUACUGGGCGUAAAGGGCGCGUAGGCGGCUUUUUUAAGUCAGACGUGAAAUCCCCCGGGCUUAACCUGGGAACUGCAUUUGUGACUGCAUCGCUGGAGUGCGGCAGAGGGGGGAUGGAAUUCCCCGGUGUAGUGGUGAAAUGCGCAGAUAUCGGGGAGGAACACCUAUGGCGAAGGCAGCUCGCUGGGACGUUACUGAGCUGAGACGCGAAAGCUGGGGAGCAAACAGG
rnacentral:rRNA from 1 species